rnacentral:rRNA from 1 species
GACGAACGCUGGCGGCGUGCCUAACACGUGCAAGUCGAGCGGGGUCCAUCCGGUAGCAAUACCGGGGAAGACCUAGCGGCGAACGGGUGAGUAACACGUGAGAAACCUGCCCCGAAGCCUGGGAUAACCCGAGGAAACUCGAGCUAAUACCGGAUGUCUUCUUCUGAUCGCAUGGUCGGAUGAAGAAAGAUUUAUCGCUUCGGGAGGGUCUCGCGGCCUAUCAGCUAGUUGGCGGGUAACGCCCACCAAGGCGUCGACGGGUAGCUGGUCUGAGAGGACGAUCAGCCACACUGGGACUGAGACACGGCCCAGUCUCCUACGGAGGCAGCAGUGGGGAAUAUUGCGCAAUGGGCGAAAGCCUGACGCAGCAACGCCGCGUGCGGGAUGAAGGCCUCGGUUGUAACG